rnacentral:rRNA from 1 species
AGGGAAUAUUGGACAAUGGGGGCAACCCUGAUCCAGCCAUGCCGCGUGAGUGAAGAAGGCCCUCGGGUUGUAAAGCUCUUUUGUCCGGAAAGAAAAGCAUUCGGUGAAUACCCGGAUGUUCUGACGGUACCGGAAGAAUAAGCACCGGCUAACUUCGUGCCAGCAGCCGCGGUAAUACGAAGGGUGCAAGCGUUACUCGGAAUUACUGGGCGUAAAGCGUGCGUAGGUGGUUGUUUAAGUCUGAUGUGAAAGCCCUGGGCUCAACCUGGGAAUGGCAUUGGAAACUGGGCAGCUAGAGUGCGGUAGAGGGGAGUGGAAUUCCCGGUGUAGCAGUGAAAUGCGUAGAGAUCGGGAGGAACAUCUGUGGCGAAGGCGACUGCCUGGACCAGCACUGACACUGAGGCACGAAAGCGUGGGGAGCAAACA